rnacentral:rRNA from 1 species
GGGGAAUCUUGCACAAUGGGGGAAACCCUGAUGCAGCGACGCCGCGUGAGCGAUGAAGCCCUUCGGGGCGUAAAGCUCUUUCGACCGGAACGAUAAUGACGGUACCGGGAGAAGAAGCUGCGGCUAACUACGUGCCAGCAGCCGCGGUAAUACGUAGGCAGCAAGCGUUGUUCGGAGUUACUGGGCGUAAAGAGUGCGUAGGCGGUUUUCUAAGUUCGGUGUGAAAUCUCCCGGCUUAACUGGGAGGGUGCGCCGAAGACUGGGAAGCUGGAGUGUGGGAAAGGCAGGCGGAAUUCCUGGUGUAGCGGUGAAAUGCGUAGAUAUCAGGAGGAACACCGGCGGUGUAGACGGCUUGCUAGACCAUAACUGACGCUGAGGCACGAAAGCGUGGGUAGCAAACA